rnacentral:rRNA from 1 species
UACAGAGGGGGCAAGCGUUAUUCGGAAUUAUUGGGCGUAAAGAGCUCGUAGGCGGUCUGUCGCGUCUGCUGUGAAAACUCAGGGCUUAACCCUGAGCUUGCAGUGGGUACGGGCAGACUAGAGUGCGGUAGGGGAGACUGGAAUUCCUGGUGUAGCGGUGGAAUUCGCAGAUAUCAGGAGGAACACCAAUGGCGAAGGCAGAUCUCUGGGCCGUAACUGACGCUGAGACGCGAAAGCGUGGGGAGCGAACAGG